GCACAGGACUUGCGUCACUUCCCCUCGCCCGGCUGGUGCGCACGUGAGGCCCCGCGCGUACCCAGGGGCCCGCGGGGGGGCGUGACCCGGAACGGAACGCGGCGGGGGUGGGGCUUACAGGGGCGUGGGGGCGGGGUUGCGCUUCCGGCGCGCCGAAAGCGCCUCUGGCUCACGUGGAGGGCUGUGGGCGAGCUCCAGGGCUCCUGGAAAGCGAGCCGCUGGUGCUGCAAGCGCGGUUGCGAGGACGCAUAAGCAGCCCGGUGCUUACACUUGGGCUUAGGCGCGCGGGCGACGUGCGCUCACGCUCUGGAGCGCGACCCGGUUGGUUGAGCAGCGUUUCCCGGGACACGCUGUGCACAUGCCCAACCUAGCCCGUCCACGGGGGGCCGUGUGCGCCAGUCGGAGGCCCGCUGGAGGGUUCGCGAGACGAUGAACGCAACGCACGCUCCGACUGGAGAGAGCGCGAGCGUCACCGCGCACACAGCCAGGCGCUCGAGGAGGGGGUCCCCAGGAGAUGAGGACCAACUGUAUUUUUCGUCUAUGACAUCACACUUGAUUAAGCAUCCUUGCAAGAAAAACAUAGCCCUGUAUCUAGGGUAUAGAACACCCUGUUUCACAUGUUUCUGGUGACAACUGUUGUUAUAGUGGACAUCCCUUUUGCGUGGUGAGUAGACCGUCAAUUUUUUACUCUAUUUUAAACUCAGGAUAAUGAAAUGCAAAACAUAGGAAGGAGUGAGCACCCCCACCAUGAAGCCUGGGAGCAUCAGGUUACUUGAGGGGACCUGGCACAGUGUCCCUUCCUCAGGGUUCAGAAGAGGACCUGAGAUAAUGGGAUCACCUGGCUGACACAUUAGGAAUAUAUCCACCUACCUUCCUUUUUUAAACUUGUUAUUAUGAAAUAUUUAUAGACCGUACAGGAAGUCCCACACCCCCUUCACCAAUGGUUCUGUCUUAUGUAACUAUAAUAAAAAACUGAAACUGGGAAGCUGACCUGGAAAUAAUGGGUGGAUCUAAUUCUGUGUUAUUUAUCACAUGUGUGAAGUCACAGAAGUACUACUGCCCUCAAAACACUAGACUGUUCAAUGACCCCAAAGCUCUCCUUACAUCCCUGCCCUGCUGUCCCUAACCCCUGGCAUACACUAAUCUAUUUUCCAUCUCUAUAAUCUCAUCAUUUUUCAAGAAUUGUUUCUAUCCUAUACAUUGGAGACUCGUUAC
rnacentral:lncRNA from 1 species